UCCCUGGUGGACUAGUGGUUAGGCCUCAUCUCUCUCACUUCCAUGGCCUGGGUUUGAGUCCUAGCCAGGGAA